rnacentral:rRNA from 1 species
AGCAGCCGCGGUAAUUCCAGCUCCAAUAGCGUAUAUUAAAGUUGUUGCAGUUAAAAAGCUCGUAGUUGAACUUCGGGAUCAAUAGAUUGGUCAUGCCGAUGGUGUGUACUGGUCAUAUUGGUUCUCACCUUCUAAGGAACCAUAAUGUCAUUUAUUUGAUGUUGUGGGGAAUUAGGACUGUUACCUUGAAAAAUUAGAGUGUUUAAAGCAGGCUAACGCUUGAAUACAUUAGCAUGGAAUAAUGAAAUAGGACAUCGCAUUCUAUUUUGUUGGUUUCUAGGAUCGAUGUAAUGAUUAAUAGGGAUAGUUGGGGGCAUUAGUAUUCAAUUGUCAGAGGUGAAAUUCUUGGAUUUAUUGAAGACUAACUACUGCGAAAGCAUUUGCCAAGGAUGUUUUCAUUAAUCAAGAACGAAAGUUAGGGGAUCGAAGACGAUCAGAUACCGUCGUAGU